CCUACGGGUGGCUGCAGUGGGGAAUUUUGCGCAAUGGGGGGAACCUUGACGCAGCGACGCCGCGUGGGUGAUGAAGGCCUUCGGGUUGUAAAGCCCUGUUGGGGGGGAAGAUAAUGACGGUACCCCCUGAGGAAGCCCCGGCUAACUACGUGCCAGCAGCCGCGGUAAGACGUAGGGGGCAAGCGUUACCCGGAAUUACUGGGCGUAAAGGGGGCGUAGGCGGUAAAAGAAGUCAUCUGUGAAAACCUAUUGCUCAGCGAUAGGCUAGCGGAUGAAACUGAAUUACUUGAGGGCACCAGAGGUAGACGGAAUUACCCGAGUAGGGGUGAAAUCCGCAGAUACGGGUAGGAACGCCGGUGGAGAAGUCGGUCUACUGGGGUGCACCAGACGCUGAGGCCCGAAAGCUAGGGGAGCAAACCGGAUUAGAUACCCGGGUAGUC
rnacentral:rRNA from 1 species